UCCAGUUUAACACUGGCAGUCCCUCUAGAGUGCCCAACUUAAUGAUGGCAACAAGAGGCGUGGGUUGCGCUCGUUACGGGACUUAACCCAACAUCUCACGACACGAGCUGACGACAGCCAUGCAGCACCUGUCUCUCAGUCCCCUUGCGGGGAAAGCCAACUUUCGAUGGCGGUCCGAGGAUGUCAAGACCAGGAUAAGGUUCUUCGCGUUGCGUCGAAUUGAACCACAUGCUCCACUGCUUGUGCGGGUCCCCGUCAAUUUCUUUGAGUUUUAAUCUUGCGACCGUACUCCCCAGGCGGGAUGCUUAACGCGUUAGCUUCGUUACUGGAAGGGUUAACUCUUCCAACAACAAGCAUCCAUCGUUUACGGCGUGGACUAC
rnacentral:misc_RNA from 1 species